CCCUAGCCCCGAUUAAGCCAAAUUAUCCUUUGUGAGGUACGAACAAAGAUAAUGGCGAAAGCGGGAAAUAGC
rnacentral:misc_RNA from 1 species